UAGGGAAUCUUCCACAAUGGACGCAAGUCUGAUGGAGCAACGCCGCGUGAGUGAAGAAGGUUUUCGGAUCGUAAAGCUCUGUUGUUGGUGAAGAAGGAUAGAGGCAGUAACUGGUCUUUAUUUGACGGUAAUAAACCAGAAAGUCACGGCUAACUACGUGCCAGCAGCCGCGGUAAUACGUAGGUGGCAAGCGUUGUCCGGAUUUAUUGGGCGUAAAGCGAGCGCAGGCGGAAUGAUAAGUCUGAUGUGAAAGCCCACGGCUCAACCGUGGAACUGCAUCGGAAACUGUCAUUCUUGAGUGCAGAAGAGGAGAGUGGAAUUCCAUGUGUAGCGGUGGAAUGCGUAGAUAUAUGGAAGAACGCCAGUGGCGAAGGCGGCUCUCUGGUCUGCAACUGACGCUGAGGCUCGAAAGCAUGGGUAGCGAACAGG
rnacentral:rRNA from 1 species